GCCCGUCUAGCUCAACUGAUAGAGCACAAAGCUCUGAACUUUGUGGUCUUGUUGGGUCGAGCCCCAAGGUGGGCG
rnacentral:tRNA from 1 species